AUGCACGCUGGCGGCGUGCCUAAUCCAUGCAAGUCGCGCGAACAGACGAGGAGCUUGCUCCUCUGACGUUAGCGGCGGACGGGUGAGUAACACGUGGAUAACCUACCUAUAAGGCUGGGAUAACUUCGGGAAACCGGAGCUAAUACCGGAUAAUAUAUUGAACCGCAUGGUUCAAUAGUGAAAGACGGUUUUGCUGUCACUUAUAGAUGGAUCCGCGCCGCAUUAGCUAGUUGGUAAGGUAACGGCUUACCAAGGCAACGAUGCGUAGCCGACCUGAGAGGGUGAUCGGCCACACUGGAACUGAGACACGGUCCAGACUCCUACGGGAGGCAGCAGUAGGGAAUCUUCCGCAAUGGGCGAAAGCUUGACGGAGCAACGCCGCGUGAGUGAUGAAGGUCUUCGGAUCGUAAAACUCUGUUAUUAGGGAAGAACAAAUGUGUAAGUAACUAUGCACGUCUUGACGGUACCUAAUCAGAAAGCCACGGCUAACUACGUG
rnacentral:rRNA from 1 species